GGGUCGUCGUGCGGGCGUGGGAGCACCUGCUCGACGUACCCCUCGUCGUGGAGCUCGACCCGGACGAGCUGCGGCGGUUCGUCGACGCCGUCGACCCG
rnacentral:tRNA from 1 species